rnacentral:rRNA from 1 species
AGAGUUUGAUCCUGGCUCAGGACGAACGCUGGCGGCGUGCUUAACACAUGCAAGUCAAGGAGAACGGAUUCUUCGGGAUACAAGUAAACUGGCGAACGGGUGAGUAACACGUAGGUAAUCUACCCUAGAGAUUGGGAUAACUCCGGGAAACCGGAGCUAAUACUGAAUAAUACAACGGAUUCUUCGGGAUAUGUUGUUAAAGCGGGCUUUUGCUCGCACUCUAGGAUGAGCCUGCGUCCGAUUAGCUUGUUGGUGGGGUAAUGGCCUACCAAGGCGAUGAUCGGUAGCUGGUCUGAGAGGAUGAUCAGCCACACUGGGAUUGAGAUACGGCCCAGACUCCUACGGGAGGCAGCAGUGGGGAAUUUUGCGCAAUGGGCGAAAGCCUGACGCAGCAACGCCGCGUGAUCGAUGAAGCUUUUCGGAGUGUAAAGAUCUGUCGUGAGGGAAGAAUAACUUGGAUGCAAAUAGUUUUCAAGUCUGACGGUACCUUACAAGAAAGCACCGGCUAACUUCGUGCCAGCAGCCGCGGUAAUACGAGGGGUGCUAGCGUUGUCCGGAAUCAUUGGGCGUAAAGGGUCCGUAGGUGUCUUUGCAAGUCGUUUGUUACAUCCACCGGCUUAACCGGUGGCCUGCAAUCGAAACUGCAAGGAUAGAGUUCGAGAGAGGAAAGUGGAAUUCCUGGUGUAGCGGUGAAAUGCGCAGAUAUCAGGAGGAACACCGACAGCGAAAGCAGCACUCUGGGCCGGUACUGACGCUGAGGAGCGAAAGCGUGGGGAGCGAACAGGAUUAGAUACCCUGGUAGUCCACGCCGUAAACGUUGGGCACUAGGUGUGGGAUCUAACUAACAGAUUCCGUGCCGUAGCUAACGCAUUAAGUGCCCCGCCUGGGGAGUACGGCCGCAAGGCUAAAACUCAAAGGAAUUGACGGGGACCCGCACAAGCGGUGGAGCAUGUGGUUUAAUUCGAUGCAACGCGAAGAACCUUACCUGGUCUUGACAUCCUGCGAACUUUCUAGAAAUAGAUUGGUGCCUUCGGGAACGCAGUGACAGGUGCUGCAUGGCUGUCGUCAGCUCGUGUCGUGAGAUGUUGGGUUAAGUCCCGUAACGAGCGCAACCCCUAUCCUUAUUUGCCAGCACAUUAUGGUGGGAACUAUAAGGAGACUGCCGGUGAUAAACCGGAGGAAGGCGGGGACGACGUCAAGUCAUCAUGGCCCUUACGACCAGGGCUACACACGUGCUACAAUGGGAAGGACAAAGAGCCGCGAAGCCGCGAGGUGUAGCUAAUCUCAUAAAUCUUUUCGUAGUCCGGAUUGGAGUCUGCAACUCGACUCCAUGAAGUCGGAAUCGCUAGUAAUCGUAGAUCAGAAUGCUACGGUGAAUACGUUCCCGGGUCUUGUACACACCGCCCGUCAUACCAUGGGAGUGGGUUGCACCAGAAGUGGCUAGUCUAACUUUGUGAGGACGGUCACCACGGUGUGAUUCAUGACUGGGGUAAAGUCGUAACAAGGUAACC